AUCCGUGCGGCCAAAAUAAGAGAAGAGUCUCUUAAGGUUGCGGCAUGGCUUGCCGUAUGUUUAAAGAAUCUCCAACACUUCGAAACAAUAUGGAUUCCAUACCACUUCAACAAUCACUGGAUAGUCAUAGGUCUCGAUGUCGGGAUGAACAUGGCAUGGAUUUGUGAUUCUGCAGAUUUUGACCCUCACACAUAUAAAGACUUCAUGUCAAUUCUCAUUACGGCAUUCAGGGCCUAUGUCAAGAAUCACAAAGGAAGGCAUGAUCCAGGUCUGGGGAGCCACUUGCGUUUCAAAUCUCUAUGUUCGGUAAGUGCGACUUAGUUUGGCAUAAAAUUACUAAUUUUUUCAGUACUUAUACUUGACACAUCUCCAUUUGCAAAUUGAAACAAAGUUUCC